GAUGAACGCUGGCGGCGUGCCUAAUACAUGCCAGUCGAGCGAACGGACGAGAAGCUUGCUUCUCUGAUGUUAGCGGCGGACGGGUGAGUAACACGUGGAUAACCUACCUAUAAGACUGUGAUAACUUCGGGAAACCGGAGCUAAUACCGGAUAAUAUUUUGAACCGCAUGGUUCAAAAGUGAAAGACGGUCUUGCUGUCACUUAUAGAUGGAUCCGCGCUGCAUUAGCUAGUUGGUAAGGUAACGGCUUACCAAGGCAACGAUGCAUAGCCGACCUGAGAGGGUGAUCGGCCACACUGGAACUGAGACACGGUCCAGACUCCUACGGGAGGCAGCAGUAGGGAAUCUUCCGCAAUGGGCGAAAGCCUGACGGAGCAACGCCGCGUGAGUGAUGAAGGUCUUCGGAUCGUAAAACUCUGUUAUUAGGGAAGAACAUAUGUGUAAGUAACUGUGCACAUCUUGACGGUACCUAAUCAGAAAGCCACGGCUAACUACGUG
rnacentral:rRNA from 1 species